CAAAAAAAUCCUCACUUUCUGGUCUCUCAAAUGAUGUGCCAAUUCUGGGUAAGUAUCACACUAUAAAGGACCAACAUUUCUCUAUCCUGGGAUUACUAACUAAACCUUACCUGUACAAGUGGGAAGCUAAUAAUGGUCAAGUUUUACCUUUUUCACGAGCUUGUUUUGUAUUUCCUGUCGAUAUAACAAACUACUUAAAGUACAGAAGAGCUGGUCUCGCAGCUCGACGGUCUAAAUUAGAGCUUUAAUGAAUGAUAAAUCUGGGAGUAGUCCAGAACACAGGCAGCAUCAGCAACAGUUCCAGCGCGCACACACGCCCCGGCGACCAGACCGGACCGCGGCUCCCGGAGGUGCUCCCAGCGCCCCGGGCGGGGGAGGGUCCCAGCGAGACCCGCGCCGCCGCAGAGCGGGGGAGCUCCGGGCGCCCGCGGGAAGGGCCGGGACCCCGCGGCUCCCUCUCGGCCCCGCACCCGCCCCGUCGCUCACCGCCCGCCCGGGCAGGCCCGCAAGAGCGGGACGCGAGAGAUGGAUACCAGAAAGGGUCUUUGCAUGGAAAUAGCACUGAAGUGCAUCGAAGAACUGCAAUAACAAUUAGAAACCCUCUGAUCCCCAGGUUUUGUUUGAAAAAUGAAUAA
rnacentral:lncRNA from 1 species